AUUUAUUUUGUGGUUCGCGUCUAGCUACGCGUCUAUCGUAAGGGCGCGAAAAUAACCAAGCUGUGUGCCGUAAUAUCAUCAGUUUAGGUGCUGUCACUCUUCAACCGUUCCCUUUCAGAGCUUGUUGCCGAGAAUGUCGGGGCCGCGGGCGUAUGCCAUCGGCCAAGACGAGCUACAGAGGCGCCUUAAAAAGCUUCACGAUGAAAAAGACCUGAUAGUGAACGUGUUGGACCACUUGCUGCAAAGAAUGGACCUGAUGGUGGCUCAUGGGAGCAGUCUGACUAACAUGAAUCAGUUUCUCUGUUAUUUUGUGGAUGCUACCAGCACAAUGGAGCACAUGUAUAUGAAGCUCUUCAAGAUUCAUGUCCUUCUCACUGAAGAUACAUAUGUUGAUGCUGAACAACAGAGAGUUCCUCAUAUGGCUAUCACAUACUCAUUCCAUGCCAGCAGUGACCAGAACAGCAACUCCCAGCUCGCUGUACUGGAAGCAACGAAGGAUAGUCUCAACUGCCUGCCAUCUGGUUCACAACAUCCCUCCUCUCCACAUCUGUCCAUCUGUGAUGAGGUGCUGGGACGUCAGACGUCUGGUGCAAGUUUUGCACUUCCGCAGGAAACUGCUGCUGCAAUUUCAUCACUCACUGCAGCGUAUGCCAGGCUCGCAAGUGGGUCACCGCUAACUGCACCGACACAUGAUACCGCUGGCAAGCCCCCAGACCUGGCACCAUUUUGCAGUACAGCUCCAAACAGUGAAAUGUAUGCUGCUACCAUGCCUGCUGCUAUGCAUGCUGCAGCAGUACCUGCACCUACCGUGCCUGCUCCUACUGUGCCAACCUCUACUCUACAGACUCCAGCUGUACCUGCUAUGGCUGUACUUGCUCCAAGUGUACCUGCUCCUAUGGUGCAUGCUGCAGGUGUACCUGCUCCUUCAGUGCCUACUAUGCAUACUGCUACCCCGCAUUUUUCGGGUGUACCUGCUAUGUCUGUACCUGCUCCUACGAUACAUGCUUUGGGUGUACCUACUCCUACUAUGCCAACUAUGCAAUCUCCAGUUGUACCUACUCUGGCUGUACCUGCUUCGACUGUGCAUGCUCUAGGUGUACCUGCGCCUACUGCUACCCUGCAUAUUCCGGCUGUACCAACACCUACGGUGAAUGCUCCGAGUGUGGAUACUCCAGCAGUGCCUGCUCUGACUGUGCCUAGUGCAGCUAUGCCUACAGCUUCUGUGCAUGUCUCACCUCUACCUGCUCAUGUUGCACCUGUUCCAACUGCUCCUGCUCCUGCUGCAGCUGCUCCGGCUGUACUUCCAUGCGGAUUGGCACUAAGCUGUAGCACAACUCCUUGCAGUGAAACUUACACUACUGUGCAUACUACUGUAGCACAUACUGCUCUGGUGCAGAGUUCUGCUAUGUCUUCACCUAGCCUCUUGCUAAAUCGUAGCACAAAUCCAUGCAGUGAAGAGUAUGCUGCUGCUAUGCCCGGCUCUGCUACACACAGCCCAGCUGCACCUGGCCUUGCUGCACCUGGCUCCACAACACCCAUGAUGUUCGCAACAUCACUGACAUCUACACAGACACCUGCAGCUGUGCCACCAGUACACCAUCCUUCUGCUGAAGUCGUUGGCACUGUUUCCCAGAAGAGUACUGGUUCUAUGAGUUUUAAUCAAGGUGAUGCAUACUCCUGUGAGAGAGAAGGUAACCUGAACAAUUUGUCCAAGCUUGGACCAUGUGUGCCUACACGAAACCAUCCUGCUACCCCUGCACCACCUACACAAAGCCAAGGUGGCCUAAAUGUGGUUGCCAGUGACAAUGCAGCUACAAAGCCCAACUUUCAACAGCAGAAACAACCUGAGCAUGCUACAAGGCCAUGUACAAGAUCUGCUGCACAACAGCCAAGUAAACCAAAGGCUGCUGAAGUUCCUUUACCUAACGCAAAUGUUGUUGGGACCACACAAGACAUUGUUCUUUCUUUCUAUAAGACACCAUCUGAAUUUUGGAUUCAACUGGAUUCUUCUGCAAGCACAUUGGAAGAUAUUCUGAAGAGGUUGCAUGAGUACUACAGCAGCAGGACCCAGCGGCGAGAGUUUACUGCCAAACCUGGCAUGUACUGUGCAGCAUACUAUGCAGAAGAUGGUCACUGGUACCGUGCUAGGAUUCUGCAAGUUUUGAAAGAUCAUGCCAAGGUAUUUUAUGUAGACUUUGGCAACAGUGACAGAGUGAACAUCAAUUAUGUAUGCUUCCUUGAAGAGGAGUUUACAUCACUUCCAGCACAGGCUCUUUGCUGCAGUAUUAAGAAUGUGAAGUCCACAUGUGGCCCAGGCCUUUGGAGUUUCGCUGCCGUUCGUGCAUUUCGAGACAAAAUCUCUGGACAAGGAACAAAGUUGAAAGCCUUCUUUCACUCGCAAGAUAUUGUCACUGGUCGCUACACUGUGGACAUUCUGUCCGUCAAUGAAGACCAUGUCUCCAUUAACUUGUCUCAAGAAUUCCUCACUACCUGCUCUUCAGGAUACCUGCAGCCCAACAACCAGAAAGCUUUCAACUGUGCCACUAAGUUGCCGGUGACUCAUCCUGCAGUCACUGUGCCGAAGGCCACUACAUCUCCAGCCACAACAGCCACUGCUGUGACAUCUUCAACCACUGUGCCUCUAGUUGGAACAACCCCACCUACCACAACUUCUGCUUACACUGCACCUCAGCCUGGCAUGCCAAGCGGGUCUGUGCUUUCAAUGUGCAUGCCACCACCUGGCAUGUUCCCUGCUAGCAUGCCUGCUGCCAGCACACCUUCAACUGGUGCACUACCAUGUAAUAUGCCUCCUGCCAGUGCAGCCCCAGCUUGCACACCGAAACUUGGGGUGCCAUUGGCAGGUCCAUCUCCCACUGGCAAGGCCGCACCUCCAGCGGGCAUGGCCCCACCUCCAGCGGGCAUGGCCCCACCUCCAGCGGGCAUGGCCCCACCUCCAGCUGGCAUGGCCCCACCUCCAGCUGGCAUGGCCCCACCUCCAGCUGGCAUGGCCCCACCUCCAGCUGGCAUGGCCCCACCUCCAGCCGGCAUGGCCCCACCUCCAGCCGGCAUGGCCCCACCUCCAGCCGGCAUGGCCCCACCUCCAGCCGGGAUGGGCCCACCUCCAGCCGGCAUGGCCCCACCUCCAGCCGGCAUGUCUCCACCACCUGCUGACACGUCUCCACCACCUGCUGACAUGCCUGCAUCUGCUACUGGCAUAGCUUCAUCUCCUGCUGGCAUAGCUUCAUCUCCUGCUGGCAUAGCUUCACCCUCAGCUGUCACGGCAAUGGCUCCCACAACAGUGGCUGCCAUCGCUCCUGCUGCUGCAUCUCCUGGUGGCAUGCAACCACCUGGCAUGUACCCAGCUUACCUACAACUUGCCAGCAUGACUCCACCAGCUGUUGUGCCUCCAGCUAUCCUUCCUGACGGCAACACUUUUUGUGUGUGUCUUUCUGUGGUGUUCAAUCCAUCAGACUUCUACGGCCAGAUAGUGGAGAAAGCAAACCCUACAGUCAAGGUACUAGAAGAUCUGCAGCAAAAUCUGAACAAGUUUGGCUCCCAGAGUGAGGCACCGGUGGAAGAAAUGGUGACCAAGGGCUCCUUCUGGAUCUGUCGCUUUCAGGGUGACAAAAACUGGUACCGAGCUCAGGUACUCGACGUGCUUCCGGGACCCACUUGCGUGACAGCGUUUCAGGGUCCUGUAUGUAGACUAUGGCAACCGAAGCACUGUGCUUUGCUCCUUUCUGCGGCCAUUGCCUCCUGAGCUCGCAAGCCUUCCAGCCUGUGCCCACCGCAUGUCUCUGGCAUAUGUGGGUCCAAAGCAGGGCAACAAGUGGGACGAAUCUGCCAUUGGAGUUUUUGUCAAGGAAACUGGCUUCAACAUUUCCCUCAUUGCUGAGAAGAAGGGUCACCGGCGGGCUGGCUUUGAAGACAUCACGGAAGUUGUUCUGUGGAACAGGAAUGGUCCAACAGCAGUGAAUAUCAAUGUUGUGCUUGUUGAGCAGGACGUGGCAGUGCUGAAGUCUGCAGAAUGAAAGUUUGUGCACUAGUCAUUGUUAUAGUGCCCCCCCCCCCCCCCGCUUUGUGUUGAAAGUGUGACAGAAGUGUGUCAUAAUCGAGAUUAUCUGCCCAAGUUUAUCUUGAAUGGUUUUGCUCAGUACUGUGUUCAAGGCCCAUUGCCUCUUUCCCUUUUUGUCCUCUGUUUUAUUUGUAUAAAAUUACCAUAUGCAGCAUAACAAAGCUUCUUCUGGCUGCCUAUAGAAGAAAACUGUGUUCAUAUCGUUACUUUGAAGUUCACUUUUAUUAUGUCAAGUCUUAUUGUAUGUGUUAGCAUGACCCUCCUUGAAAUUAUGUGAUAUGUGAAUGUGAUAGCCUUGUCAACACUGCAAGCGAACUCUGUUCAGGGUGUUAUUUUGAAUGUGCGUAUUCAUUUAAAUUAUGAAAUGCAGCCCAGGCUAACCAUCUUGCAUGUUCUAACCAUUUAUGAAUAGAAAAGAACUUUUUAUUUUUCAUAGGAUUAGCAGGUUGGCUUGACCUCCCUUCAUUCACCUUUAUUUUUUUGUUUGUGUACAAGCGUGAAAAUAAGUUUAUUGCAGAAAAGCAAUGUUUUGGUAUCCUCAGUAGGCUUCAUUUGAGUGAAUGAAGUUUCAUGAUGAUGUGCCCUACAGUGUUGAAAACCAUCCAGCUCCUGCAGUAGC